rnacentral:rRNA from 1 species
CGGACUAGCUGUGAUGCCCUUAGAUGUUCUGGGCCGCACGCGCGCUACACUGACGGAGCCAGCGAGUACUUCCUUGUCCGAAAGGUCCGGGUAAUCUUGUGAAACUCU